GCAGCUGUGGCCAGUGGUUGAGGCGAUGGACUAGAAAUCCAUUGGGGUCUCCCCCGCGUAAGGUUCGAGAUCCUACAGGCUGCG